UUAAUAUGUUUUCAACAGUAG
rnacentral:piRNA from 1 species